rnacentral:rRNA from 1 species
GUGUCAGCAGCCGCGGUAAGACGAGGGGUCCUAGCGUUGUUCGGAAUCACUGGGCGUAAAGCGUAUGUAGGCGGCUUUUCAAGUCAGGUGUGAAAUCCCAUGGCUUAACCAUGGAACUGCAUUUGAAACUGUAAAGCUUGAGUAUUGGAGAGGAUGGUAGAAUUCCUGGUGUAGUGGUGAAAUACGUAGAUAUCAGGAGGAAUACCGGUGGCGAAGGCGGCCAUCUGGCCAAAUACUGACGCUGAGAUACGAAAGUGUGGGGAUCAAACAGGAUUAGAUACCCCUGUAGUCC